rnacentral:misc_RNA from 1 species
GUUGGUGAACCAGCGGAGGGAUCAUUACCGAGUUUACAACUCCCAAACCCCUGUGAACAUACCUACGUUGCUUCGGCGGACCACCCCAACCCCCUCGGGGCGAGGGGCCGCCAGAGGACCCAAAACCCAACUGUUUUUUCCGUAACGAAACCUAUUCUGAGUGGAAUUAUUAAAUAAAUCAAAACUUUCAACAACGGAUCUCUUGGCUCUG